rnacentral:lncRNA from 1 species
AAUACAUAUAGGUUAUAUGGAACCAGCAACAACAACAGAUUCACAGAAGAUGCAACACACUAGUUAUUAGUUAACGGUAUACCUAAUACUAGAAAGCCUAAUACUCGAGUCUUGUACUGAGGUUGUAACACACAACUAGUUAAGUAGAUGACCUUCAAGUUCACAGAUACACUUAACACGGAUCACAUCAAGGAAAUGAAAAUCAGCACAACAAUAGCAAUUAUUAAGUGAAUAAAUGAAGUGAAACAACUUCACUUGCACAGUACUAGAGGAUAAGAUUUCGGACACCAACCUUCUGAUUUUGUUUAACAGUAUGCCUUAUGCUGGCAGGCUCACCUAGGACAAGUACAUUGUUUAAAUUACCACUUUCAUCUCUUU